rnacentral:tRNA from 1 species
GCCUCAGUAGCUCAGCGGUAGAGCGGCCGCCUUGUAAGCGGCAGGUCGGGGGUUCGAAUCCCUCCUGGGGCU